AACGAACGCUGGCGGCAGGCUUAACACAUGCAAGUCGAACGGUUGUAGCAAUACAGCAGUGGCAGACGGGUGAGUAACACGUGGGAACCUUCCUAGGGGGUACGGAACAACUCAGGGAAACUUGAGCUAAUACCGUAUACGUCCGUGAGGAGAAAGAUUUAUCGCCCUUAGACGGGCCCGCGUCGGAUUAGCUAGUUGGUGGGGUAACGGCCUACCAAGGCGACGAUCCGUAGCUGAUCUUAGAGGAUGAUCAGCCACACUGGGACUGAGACACGGCCCAGACUCCUACGGGAGGCAGCAGUGGGGAAUCUUGGACAAUGGGCGCAAGCCUGAUCCAGCCAUGCCGCGUGAGUGAAGAAGGUCUUCGGAUUGUAAAGCUCUUUUGCCAGGGACGAUAAUGACGGUACCUGGAGAAUAAGCCCGGCAAACUUCGUGCCAGCAGCCGCGGUAAU
rnacentral:rRNA from 1 species